GAAUUUCACUUUGUAACUUUCUACGGAACCCGAGCCUGGGUGGCAGCUCGGGUGGUGGUAUCGUAUGCAAAUACGCAUGCUGACGUUACAGAUCAUGUGGGUUUUGGCGUAGAUUCCCCACUGAUCGAGGCAUUUUUUUCCCCUUUUUUUUUCCUUUUUUUUUUUUUUUCUUUUAAAAAUUUUGGCCACCGUUCUCCGUACGGGGGCUUUUUCUGUCUGUCUGUCUUGGCAGGCUGGCUUUCCCCCUCUUUCCCACUGAGCCCGAGUCGGGCGCCGGGUGGGGAGUGGGGAGUGGGUGGGGGGAGCCAGCAGAGUUCCAUUUUGGAACGCCCGUGCCUCGUCUCCGCGUUCCCAGCCCGGGUCCCCGCGUUCCCAGCCCCGGCGCAGGUCCCACGCACUGGCUGCUGUUGGAGUCCGGCUGUGAGAAUACUCCCAGGAUGUAAGCACCACGAAACUGGUGAGUGAUGCUGCGUUUGGCGUGCUCACACGUGACCUAGUUGGAUUUCAGGAAGGAGGAGGAGAGACAUAGGAGGGGAAGGGCACCUCUGAAACUGUAUUGCUGGCUGCACGCACCUGGUCACAGAAUAGUGUGAGCUUGCAGGUGUGAGGAAUUCACUGGGUCCUUGAAGUCCUUUUCCGGAUGCUACAGAGCUGCAGGUGGCAGGGCUGAUCCCACCCAGAAGGCAUGUGCUUGGAGUUGUUUCCAGGGAACUAGAGAAAUCUUAGAAUAGAACAGGAGCUUCCCGGCAAACCACUUGGCAAACAAACGAUAGCCCUGAGAAGUUGGGACUCAAGUGAGGCAAGAGAGCCCCCCUUGGACAUCUGAAGUAUUUUGCCACUGGCAGAAGGGAGGGUAGCUCUUGACUCACCUAAGGAAAGCUGAGCCAUGCCCAGGUGCAGUAGAUGUCUUGGGGAAGUAGUGAGCUCCCUCUCACUGGCAGAAUUCAAGCAGAGGUUAGGGAAGUGUACAUGACAAUGUACUUUUGAUGAAGGCAGUAUCCCCUUCUGUUCUCUGAUGAUCUAGAACCCUGAGAGCACGCAGUAAGAAAAGGAUGAUGGUUUAGGGAAAGACCGGACAAGGGCAAACUAGAGGUCAUGCACACAAACUCUCAGUGCUGCUCCUGCUUCAGAUGGCCAGUUAUGCAGCAGAAGUCACUAGAUGGUAUGACCUUGGGUCUCUCCCUGCCCUAAUACCAUCAGUCAACUGUCACUGAGUUCGUAUUACAGGUGUGACCCCAAACACCUAGUGUAUGUGAUAAGUGGGCAACUCACAAAGCAUGGUGGGAGUUUUGUUGAGAAGCUCUGGAGAGCUCUCUCCCAUACCAAGACCACCAAAAGAGCCACCCACUAGUCACACAAUCAAGGGGCUUGGCCCAAGAUCCAGACCACACAGACC
rnacentral:lncRNA from 1 species